UACGGGGGGGGCAAGCGUUGUUCGGAAUUACUGGGCGUAAAGGGCUCGUAGGCGGCCAACUAAGUCGGAUGUGAAAUCCCCAGGCUUAACCUGGGAACUGCAUCCGAUACUGGAUGGCUUGAAUCCGGGAGAGGGAUGCGGAAUUCCAGGUGUAGCGGUGAAAUGCGUAGAUAUCUGGAGGAACACCGGUGGCGAAGGCGGCAUCCUGGACCGGCAUUGACGCUGAGGAGCGAAGGCCAGGGGAGCAAACGGG
rnacentral:rRNA from 1 species